GACCUAUCAGCUUUGGAUGGUAGGGUAUUGGCCUAACAUGGCUAUGACGGGUAACGGGGAAUUAGAGUUCGAUUCCGGAGAGGGAGCCUGAGAAAUAGCUACCACAUCUAAGGAAGGCAGCAGGCGCGUAAAUUACCCAAUUCUAAAGAAGAGAGGUAGUGACAAGAAAUAACAAUGCAAGGCCAAAUUUUGGUUUUGCAAUUGGAAUGAUNGGAAGUUAAAAAUUUCCUAAAGUAACAAUUGGAGGGCAAGUCUGGUGCCAGCAGCCGCGGUAAUUCCAGCUCCAAUAGCGUAUAUUAAAAUUGUUGCAGUUAAAACGCUCGUAGUUGAAUUUCAAAGAAUCUAUUUUUAAAGUAAUGCUGUACUAAAACUUAUGUUUAAAUAAUUAGCUUCGGCUGAUUUAUUUUUACAUUCGAUUUAGUACUAUGCGUUCUUUAAAAUUAAAAAGAUUCUUUUUAAAAAUUCUUUAUCCAUUACUUGUAAUGUGGUAAGAAUUUUUGUUACUUUGAGUAAAUUAGAGUGUUCAAAGCAAACAGUUAAAACAGCUAAAACUGUGUUUGAAUACUACAGCAUGGAAUAACAAAAUUGAACAAGCUAGAAUCUUUGUUCUUUUUUCUUAUUUUAGCUUAGUACGAUUAAUAUUAGUAGUUUGGGGACAUUCGUAUUCAGAUGUCAGAGGUGAAAUUCUUAGAUUUUNUGGAGACGAACAACUGCGAAAGCAUUUGUCUAAAAUACUUCCAUUAAUCAAGAACGAAAGUUAAGGGAGUGAAGACGAUCAGAUACCGUCGUAAUCUUAACCAUAAACUAUGCCGACUAGGUGUUGGAUGAAAGAUUAAAAAUAAAAGUUAUUCUAAUUUAUUAGAAUAGCUUUUAGAUUGCUUCCUUCAGUACCUUAUGAGAAAUCAAAGUCUUUGGGUUCUGGGGCGAGUAUUCGCGCAAGCGAGAAAGUUAAAAGAAUUGACGGAAGGGCACCACCAGGCGUGGAGCUUGCGGCUUAAUUUGACUCAACACGGGAAAACUCACUAGUUUAAGACAAGAGUAGGAUUGACAGAUUAAUAGCUCUUUCUUGAUUUCUUGGAUGGUGAUGCAUGGCCGUUUUUAGUUCGUGAAUAUGAUUUGUCUGGUUAAUUCCGAUAACGAACGAGAUCUUAACCUGCUAAUUAGCGGUAAAUACAACAUAUUCUUACGCGAGAGUAGAAUAUAGAUAAAAUUAAACUUAUAAGAGAAAAAUAUUAGAACAUUUUUUAAUGUUCUUUUCCCUUUUUCUCUUAAUUUGUUUUUUUUAUUCUAUUUCUAUUUUUGCAUAAGAAUGUAUUUACUUUAUUGUAAAGCUUCUUAGAGGGACAUUGUGUGUUUAACACAAGGAAGUUUAAGGCAACAACAGGUCUGUGAUGUCCUUAGAUAAACUAGGCUGCACGCGUGCUACACUGAUAUAUAUAACGAGUUAUUAAAAAUAUAUCUUUAUAUAUGUACUUGUAUGUAUAUAAAGGUAUAGUUUUCCUCCACUGAAAAGUGUAGGUAAUCUUUAUCAAUAUAUAUCGUGAUGGGGAUAGAUUAU
rnacentral:rRNA from 1 species